rnacentral:lncRNA from 1 species
GCGGUUGUCUUCGGCUUCUCCGGCUUCAACUGGCGGCGGCACGACCGAUCGGCUCGCCUGAUCGGACCCUCGAGCUGUCGGACUGGGAGUCUCCAUUGUACCAUCCGCCCGGGUGUGUGCCUCCAGAAAGCCGGCACGUGACACCUCCGACGGGGUCUGCUGGGGAGUCUGCUGGGACCUUUCCGGCGGAUGGGAGCCACUUUCCCCGCUGCCCGAAUGAGUACCUGCCGCAGUGGGAGGCACGACUUCUGUCUCCGGCGGGACACCCUCGACCACCGGCACGUCGGGCUGUGACGCCUUUACAAAGUCAAUGGCGCCCUUCCGCGUCAACAUGUCUAUAUUGGCCCGGGCCCCAGACUUCGCCGCUUCGGUCAAUGUCUUUUUAUACUCCGCCGACAUCUUGAACGCUUCAACGGUGGCGGCUGCAGAAGAACUCUGUUCAUUUUUCAGGCGGUUGACCUCCCCGUCCAGCCGCUGCAUCUCACCCAGUCUGGCGGCAGACUCCCGCUGCACAAUAAUGAGCUUCUUAUCUUUAGCGGCUAUCCGCUCCUGCAGCAAUGCGAUCUCCUGCUCCAACUGGGAGACGCGUUCAUUCCUCUCCAGGUCCCGCCUUAUGGCCGCAUUAAGCUUGCCGCGGGCGUCCGCAUAGUCACACUCCGCCUUGGCCAGCCCCCGCUCGGCCUCCGCCAAUCUCUCCUUGGCCUCUGCCAGCUCCCUCUGGAGACCUCCGAUCUCUCCCCUGAGCUCUUCCUCAAUCCGGGGCUGCUUAGACGCCGCCUCGAACAUAUCAUGUAACCCCGCAGAUAUUUGACCAAACGCCGAGCUGAAGGGCGAUUGGUCAAUUGCCGUCGGGCGCGAUAUGCCCGCCAGACCCCCGAACCCUAGCCGCUCGCACAGAUGGAAAAGGAAUGCCCGCUCCCCUUCUGUCAUGAAUGGCGCAUACUCGGCAAAGGAGUCCAGAUCACUGACGGCUGCUGCCUCUCCCUCCGCCACUGCACCCUUCGACGCAGCUUGUCGAGCCUUCUUUUGUUGGCGGACUCCGAUCACCACCUCUUCUUCCUCUUCCUCGACGGGGGAGUCAGGCUGCCGGCGUUUUUUCUCCAACGCCGUUGUGUCCCAGCAGCGGUCCUCGUCACCCGCACCGGCGGCUCACCCCGGGACUCGGUGGCAGUCUCCGUCGGCUGCACCGUCUUCUUUUGAGGACCGCGCCGGGUGGUAGGCAUCCGCUCCCGCGGCCUUGUACCAACAAUCCCCCUCUCCCCGCCGCCCACUUGGGUGUCCGCCUGCACUACCGGCAGGCCAUCCUCACCCAGAUGGGAGUGGUGCGGCAUCGGCAGCUCCACCGCAACCUCAGACUGGCUCAGCACCAGCGUCUCCGGGUUCACCACCGUCUGCUGGGCCGCCAGCCCCUCGGCAUACAUAGCCUCCAGAAAAUUUUCUAUCUCGGCACGAUCCAUUGCUUUUUCGAAAGCGUCGCGACUAGAUUUGUUACCGGGCGGGGUUUCUGAAAAGAAAAACACAAACACCCGUCAGUCCGGAUCACUAACAAAAAAAAAAAAAAAAAAAAAAGAGGUGUGGCGGAAUGGCUCUCACCAAUAGAGCGAGUUAGCCCCAGGUCGACCAGCAAUUCCCAACCGGUCAGAAGACGGAAGUCAAGCAAAUUGCGGUUCCGCCAGCAGCCGCGGAUCCUCGCCACGCGACACUCCUCUUCGCGCGUCAGAAUGUACCUUAGUCCCGCUGCACAAACACUAAUCAUUAGCAAAAACCGCAGGUUUGCAAAAGUUUGAAACCGCCAGUUAGUUUUAGCGGAAACCAGUUGCCAACCUCGGAUGGGCUGGAAUUCCGACUUAGUCUUAAACGUCGGCCCCUCCACAUUCGACCUAGUGUGGUACUCCCAGCCAUCUGUGGCGACGCAGAAGAUCCCCCGCCAGUAGGACAUUGAGUCCCUUAGAUUCUCAAUCAACUUGGGCGCUCCCUGGCGGCGGCUCAGGUUCACGCACCCUCUGCAACCUCGACGCUUCACAUACACUAGCUCGUAGAAGUGAAGCACUUCCGCCACGGUAGGCCCCUCGCACCCCGACAAGCGCCACAAGGAGUUCAUCGCCAACAUCAACCGCCACAUGUUGGGACAGAUCUGCCCAAAGGCAAGGCCAAACUCGCACACAAGAAUUUGGAGAUUGGGCACUAGCGGGAAUGUCACUCCUUGGAGGAAUAUGGCCUCGUGCACGGCAGCACAUCCCGCUGGGAGCAUCGAGGCCUUCUCAUCCGCUGUCGGGGGGCGCAGCUUCACCGAGCCCGGCAACCGGAACGUCCGCUUCAUCCGGUUAACAGCGGCGGCAUCCAUCCGCCCACCUGCCUCGUCGACGGCGGUGCCAUCUGAGAGGUACCACGCCGACUCGACGUUUUGGCCCGGCGCUUCCCCUUCGCCAGCGGAGCCGCUAGCAGCACUAUUGCUCGCCAAGCGCUCGUCGCGCCUAGCAACCUCACCCGCCCUAGAGCUCUCUGGACGCGAACCACGAUCCAUAGCUAUUUCCCAGGGGAUGGUCCGAAGUGGCUCAACUUCAAGCGGUUCUGGCAGUGAGGUUCCUGCAUGGGCAGACGGACGCAACGAGUCAAUAAAGGUCAUAUCCGCCACGCUGAACGACACGUCAGACCCG